rnacentral:sRNA from 1 species
CCUGCUGUGGUGAUAUUCAGGUGAAAACUGAUUGACGGUGCCAAACCCAUCCAUGGGGAGAUGUGAAAGAUGAAAAUAAACUCCUUCAGAAGUAUUAGCCUCGGCGAAUUCUUUGCUUUCUGUUUGUUAUCCGUGAAAGCUGAUUCAUUGAUUCAUAUGUUUGCAAUUUUGGGGGAUUGAAGCUAGUUAUAGAAGACUGGAGAGUGCCCUCGAACCCUCCUAAUGGAGAGACGAUAGAACGAAUUUAUACAUAAAAUACUCGAAAAAGCUAGCUAGGUACAGAGCAGGUAUGUUGGUAACUAUGCCCAAUCAAACAUGUGGUCGUGUGAUCUCAUAUUUCUUUUUGAUAUCUCCUUUCUUUUUUUCCUCCUUUUCUUCGGUGUCGCU